rnacentral:rRNA from 1 species
AGGACGAACGCUGGCGGCGUGCUUAACACAUGCAAGUCGAGCGGAAAGGCCCUUCGGGGUACUCGAGCGGCGAACGGGUGAGUAACACGUGAGUAACCUGCCCCUAGCUCCGGGAUAGCUCCGGGAAACCGGAAUUAAUACCGGAUGUGAUCACGGCCGACAUCGGCCACGAUGGAAAGAUUUAUCGGCUAGGGAUGGGCCCGCGUCCGAUUAGCUAGUUGGUGAGGUAAUGGCUCACCAAGGCGACGAUCGGUAGCUGGUCUGAGAGGAUGACCAGCAUCACUGGGACUGAGACACGGCCCAGACUCCUACGGGAGGCAGCAGUGGGGAAUAUUGGACAAUGGGCGCAAGCCUGAUCCAGCCAUGCCGCGUGGAUGAUGAAGGCCUUAGGGUUGUAAAGUCCUUUUAACGGGGAGAUAAUGACGGUACCCGUAGAAUAAGCCCGGCUAACUUCGUGCCAGCAGCCGC